UGCUUAACACAUGCAAGUCGAACGUGAAGCCCGAUGCUUGCAUUGGGUGGAAAGUGGCGGACGGGUGCAGUAACACGUUGGUGACCUACCUCGAGGAGGGGGACAACACCUGGGAAAACCAGGGCUAAUACCCCUGGAUGUCAAGGAGUUUAGACGCCACUUGACUAAAGCUUCGGCGCCUUGGGAUGGGCCUGC
rnacentral:rRNA from 1 species